AGCUUCGUAGCCCAGCUGGUAGAGCGUGCGCUCUUCAAAAAGCGUAGGCGGCGCCCAUGUGUGGGUUCGAAUUCCACCUGGGCUA
rnacentral:tRNA from 1 species